rnacentral:rRNA from 1 species
GAUGAACGCUGGCGGCGUGCCUAAUACAUGCAAGUCGAGCGAACAGAUGAGGAGCUUGCUCCUCUGACGUUAGCGGCGGACGGGUGAGUAACACGUGGAUAACCUACCUAUAAGACUGGGAUAACUUCGGGAAACCGGAGCUAAUACCGGAUAAUAUAUUGAACCGCAUGGUUCAAUAGUGAAAGACGGUUUUGCUGUCACUUAUAGAUGGAUCCGCGCCGCAUUAGCUAGUUGGUAAGGUAACGGCUUACCAAGGCAACGAUGCGUAGCCGACCUGAGAGGGUGAUCGGCCACACGGGAACUGAGACACGGUCCAGACUCCUACGGGAGGCAGCAGUAGGGAAUCUUCCGCAGUGGGCGAAAGCCUGACGGAGCAACGCCGCGUGAGUGAUGAAGGUCUUCGGAUCGUAAAACUCUGUUAUGAGGGAAGAACAAAUGUGUAAGUAACUAUGCACGUCUUGACGGUACCUAAUCAGAAAGCCACGGCUAACUACGUG